rnacentral:lncRNA from 1 species
CACAAAUUUCUCUGUUCUCUCUCUUUUACAAUUCUUCAUCACCUUCCUGGUUUUAUCAAGAUUUGAUCAAAUUCAAAGAUCCGUAAACAUAAGUUGCAGGUAUGUUAAUCCGAUUCGAUGCUCUCUUUGUUUCCACCGUUUUCCAGAAGCAUCAUCAUGUUGGUCUAUCAAGAUUUGAUUACUGGUGAUGAGCUUCUUUCAGACUCCUUCCCCUACAAGAACUCUUGAAUGGGAUCCUAUGUGAAGUUGAAGGAAAGAUCUGAUUCCAGUGAUUAAUAUCCGCUUGAGUAACCCAAUCUGAGUCUGAUUUUUUUCGUUAACGAUUCAGGUUUUUAUUUUGGAUGCCCCGGAGUUUUGGUUGCAACUAUGUUGGACAGAGGUAUGGUUGUUGUGGUUGGAAAUUGGUACCAUGUCCGUUGGUUUUGCUUGGCAAGUUUAAGUUCACAGCGGAAAGGGGAAGAAAACGCAUCGUAAUUGAAACCACAAGUUUAUUAACAUGUUACUUACGAACCACGCACUCCAUCCGAUUGCAACGUUCGUCCAAAGCUGUAUCAAGCAACCUGCAAAGCAUGCAGUAGAGUGUCAACAUAACGUUGGCGAGUUCACGUGUUUGCAGUUUUCCAGUUUUAAUUCCAAAAACUUGUUUUAACCAGUUAAUUUACCCGUUUAUACAUGCCAUGGGGAGCUACCCCAUAAGUAAGCGAC